UAUUGGUCAAUGGGCGCAGGCCUGAACCAGCUAAGUAGCGUGAAGGAUGACUGCCCUAUGGGUUGUAAACUUCUUUUAUAUGGGAAUAAAGUUUUCCACGUGUGGAAUUUUGUAUGUACCAUAUGAAUAAGGAUCGGCUAACUCCGUGCCAGCAGCCGCGGUAAUACGGAGGAUCCGAGCGUUAUCCGGAUUUAUUGGGUUUAAAGGGAGCGUAGGUGGACAGUUAAGUCAGUUGUGAAAGUUUGCGGCUCAACCGUAAAAUUGCAGUUGAUACUGGCUGUCUUGAGUACAGUAGAGGUGGGCGGAAUUCGUGGUGUAGCGGUGAAAUGCUUAGAUAUCACGAAGAACUCCGAUUGCGAAGGCAGCUCACUGGACUGCAACUGACACUGAUGCUCGAAAGUGUGGGUAUCAAACAGGA
rnacentral:rRNA from 1 species